GUCGAGCGAACAGAAGGGAGCUUGCUCCCGGAUGUUAGCGGCGGACGGGUGAGUAACACGUGGGUAACCUGCCUGUAAGACUGGGAUAACUCCGGGAAACCGGAGCUAAUACCGGAUAGUUCCUUGAACCGCAUGGUUCAAGGAUGAAAGACGGUUUCGGCUGUCACUUACAGAUGGACCCGCGGCGCAUUAGCUAGUUGGUGGGGUAAUGGCUCACCAAGGCGACGAUGCGUAGCCGACCUGAGAGGGUGAUCGGCCACACUGGGACUGAGACACGGCCCAGAUUCCUACGGGAGGCAGCAGUAGGGAAUCUUCCGCAAUGGACGAAAGUCUGACGGAGCAACGCCGCGUGAGUGAUGAAGGUUUUCGGAUCGUAAAGCUCUGUUGUUAGGGAAGAACAAGUGCGAGAGUAACUGCUCGCACCUUGACGGUACCUAACCAGAAAGCCACGGCUAACUACGUGCCAGCAGCCGCGGUAAUACGUAGGUGGCAAGCGUUGUCCGGAAUUAUUGGGCGUAAAGGGCUCGCAGGCGGUUUCUUAAGUCUGAUGUGAAAGCCCCCGGCUCAACCGGGGAGGGUCAUUGGAAACUGGGAAACUUGAGUGCAGAAGAGGAGAGUGGAAUUCCACGUGUAGCGGUGAAAUGCGUAGAGAUGUGGAGGAACACCAGUGGCGAAGGCGACUCUCUGGUCUGUAACUGACGCUGAGGAGCGAAAGCGUGGGGAGCGAACAGGAUUAGAUACCCUGGUAGUCCACGCCGUAAACGAUGAGUGCUAAGUGUUAGGGGGUUUCCGCCCCUUAGUGCUGCAGCUAACGCAUUAAGCACUCCGCCUGGGGAGUACGGUCGCAAGACUGAAACUCAAAGGAAUUGACGGGGGCCCGCACAAGCGGUGGAGCAUGUGGUUUAAUUCGAAGCAACGCGAAGAACCUUACCAGGUCUUGACAUCCUCUGACAACCCUAGAGAUAGGGCUUUCCCUUCGGGGACAGAGUGACAGGUGGUGCAUGGUUGUCGUCAGCUCGUGUCGUGAGAUGUUGGGUUAAGUCCCGCAACGAGCGCAACCCUUGAUCUUAGUUGCCAGCAUUUAGUUGGGCACUCUAAGGUGACUGCCGGUGACAAACCGGAGGAAGGUGGGGAUGACGUCAAAUCAUCAUGCCCCUUAUGACCUGGGCUACACACGUGCUACAAUGGACAGAACAAAGGGCUGCGAGACCGCAAGGUUUAGCCAAUCCCAUAAAUCUGUUCUCAGUUCGGAUCGCAGUCUGCAACUCGACUGCGUGAAGCUGGAAUCGCUAGUAAUCGCGGAUCAGCAUGCCGCGGUGAAUACGUUCCCGGGCCUUGUACACACCGCCCGUCACACCACGAGAGUUUGUAACACCCGAAGUCGGUGAGGUAACCUUUAUGGAGCCAGCCGCCG
rnacentral:rRNA from 2 species